rnacentral:rRNA from 1 species
GACGAACGCUGGCGGCGUGCUUAACACAUGCAAGUCGAGCGGAAAGGCCCUCGGGGUACUCGAGCGGCGAACGGGUGAGUAACACGUGAGUAAUCUGCCCUUCACUCUGGGAUAGCCACCGGAAACGGUGAUUAAUACCGGAUACGACCAAUCCCUGCAUGGGGUGUUGGUGGAAACUUUUUUGGGUGGGGGAUGUGCUCGCGGCCUAUCAGCUUGUUGGUGGGGUAAUGGCCUACCAAGGCUUCGACGGGUAGCCGGCCUGAGAGGGUGACCGGCCACACUGGGACUGGGACACGGCCCAGACUCCUACGGGAGGCAGCAGUGGGGAAUAUUGGACAAUGGGCGGAAGCCUGAUCCAGCAACGCCGCGUGAGGGAUGACGGCCUUCGGGUUGUAAACCUCUUUCAGCACCGACGAAGCGCAAGUGACGGUAGGUGCAGAAGAAGGACCGGCCAACUACGUGCCAGCAGCCGCCGUAAAAC